CAAUAGCGUAUAUUUAAGUUGUUGCAGUUAAAAAGCUCGUAGUUGGAUUUCGGAUGGGAUUUGCCGGUCCGUCGUUACGAUGUGCACUGGCCAGUCCUAUCUUGUUGUCGGGGACUAGCUCCUUGGAUUCACUUCCUGGGACUAGGAGCUGACGAGGUUACUUUGAGUAAAUUAGAGUGUUCAAAGCAAGCCUACGCUCUGAAUACAUUAGCAUGGAAUAACACGAUAGGACUCUGGCUUAUCUUGUUGGUCUGUGAGACCAGAGUAAUGAUUAAGAGGGACAGUCGGGGACAUUCGUAUUCCAUUGUCAGAGGUGAAAUUCUUGGAUUUAUGACAGACGAACUUCUGCGAAAGCAUUUGUCAAGGAUGUUUUCAUUAA
rnacentral:rRNA from 1 species